rnacentral:tRNA from 1 species
UUCAGGAUUGCCGAGCGGGCCAAGGCGCUGGCGUCAGGUCGCAGUCCAGUCAUCUGGGCGAGGGUUCGAAUCCCUUCUGCUGACA